rnacentral:rRNA from 1 species
CAGUCGCCGCGGUAAUACGAGGGGUGCAAGCGUUAUUCGGAUUGAUUGGGUGUAAAGGGUGUGCAGACGGCUUAUUAAGUCACUUGUUAAAUUCUUCGGCCUAACUGAAGGUCUGCAAGUGAUACUGAUGAGCUAGAGGGUGGAAGAGAGAAGUGGAAUUCUCGGAGUAGCGGUAAAAUGCGUAGAUCUCGAGAGGAACACCAAUGGCGAAGGCAGCUUCUUGGUCCAUUCCUGACGUUCAUACACGAAAGCGUGGGGAGCAAACAGGAUUAGAUACCCCCGUAGUCCCUGUCUCUUAUAA